rnacentral:misc_RNA from 1 species
AACGCACAUUGCGCCUCUCUUUGGGGAGGCAUGCCUGUCUGAGCGUCAUUUAAACCAUAAACCCGAAUGGGUUUGUCAUUGGGUCUCGCCCCCGGGCGUCUCCUCAAAGUCAUUGGUCUAUAUGAGCGGACGAAAUCCAUUAGGACUGACCGUUCCAUAUGACUUUAAAACUCUCUCAAUUGACCUCAGAUCAGGUAGGGCUACCGCCUGAACUUAA